CGGUAAUACGUAGGUGGCAAGCGUUGUCCGGAUUUAUUGGGCGUAAAGCGAGCGCAGGCGGUUUUUUAAGUCUGAUGUGAAAGCCUUCGGCUCAACCGAAGAAGUGCAUCGGAAACUGGGAAACUUGAGUGCAGAAGAGGACAGUGGAACUCCAUGUGUAGCGGUGAAAUGCGUAGAUAUAUGGAAGAACACCAGUGGCGAAGGCGGCUGUCUGGUCUGUAACUGACGCUGAGGCUCGAAAGUAUGGGUAGCAAACAGGAUUAGAUACCCUGGUAGUCCAUACCGUAAACGAUGAAUGCUAAGUGUUGGAGGGUUUCCGCCCUUCAGUGCUGCAGCUAACGCAUUAAGCAUUCCGCCUGGGGAGUACGGCCGCAAGGCUGAAACUCAAAGGAAUUGACGGGGGCCCGCACAAGCGGUGGAGCAUGUGGUUUAAUUCGAAGCUACGCGAAGAACCUUACCAGGUCUUGACAUACUAUGCAAAUCUAAGAGAUUAGACGUUCCCUUCGGGGACAUGGAUACAGGUGGUGCAUGGUUGUCGUCA
rnacentral:rRNA from 2 species